rnacentral:RNase_P_RNA from 2 species
UGAGCGAGUGUAGCGGUCGCGUGUUGAAUCUUUCAAUGCGAGGAAAGUCCGAGCUCCACAGGGCAGGGUGGUGGGUAACUCCCACCAGGAGUGAUCCUAGGGAAAGUGCCACAGAAAAUAUACCGCCGGUGUCUUUGAUAUCGGUAAGGGUGAAAUGGUGAGGUAAGAGCUCACCGCGAGGGCGGUGACGUCCUUGGCAGGGUAAACCCCACCCGGAGAAAGACCAAACAGAGGCGAAGGAGUGCCCACUCCGCUCCCGCUUGCGGGAAUAGGUCCGGG